GUGCUCACUUUAACAGCACAUAUACUAAAAUUGGAAUGAGACAGAGAAUAUUAGCAUGGCCCCUGCGCAAGGAUGACCCGCAAAUUUGUUUUUGGCUUUUGAGGUUUAU